rnacentral:rRNA from 1 species
UACGUAGGGUGCAAGCGUUAAUCGGAAUUACUGGGCGUAAAGCGUGCGCAGGCGGUUGUGCAAGACAGAGGGGAAAUCCCCGGGCUUAACCUGGGAAUGGCCUUUGUGACUGCACGGCUAGAGUGUGUCAGAGGGGGGUAGAAUUCCCCGUGUAGCAGUGAAAUGCGUAGAGAUGUGGAGGAAUACCGAUGGCGAAGGCAGCCCCCUGGGAUAACACUGACGCUCAUGCACGAAAGCGUGGGGAGCAAACAGG